ACGUAAGGAGACAAACGUUAUCCGGAGUUACUGGGCGUAAAGGGCGUGUAGGUGGUAGUGUAAGUCUGGCGUGAAAUUUUUCGGCUUAACCGGGAAAGGUCGUCGGAUACUGCACAACUAGAGGACGGUAGAGGCGUGUGGAAUUCCGGGUGUAGUGGUGAAAUGCGUAGAGAUCCGGAGGAACACCAGUGGCGAAGGCGACACGCUGGGCCGUACCUGACACUGAUGCGCGACAGCAUGGGGAGCAAACAGG
rnacentral:rRNA from 1 species